rnacentral:tRNA from 1 species
AGGGUGCUAGAUCAAUGGAAGAGCGCCUGCCUUACAAGCAGGAGGUUGGUGGUUCGAUUCCUCCAUGGCCUA